rnacentral:lncRNA from 1 species
GACUUGGUUGGAUCAGCUAGGGGAGUUGGCCUUCCUUCUCAACCUCAGAGGUGAGAGUGCAGAACGUUGCAUCCUCUUCUCUUAUCAAUCCUUCUUCCUUUUUGGCUAAGAGUGAGUUGUAUCUUCCUUGUGCAAAAUUAUUGUAUCUCUUCAUUUCUAGUGUGAGUUCAUCUCAGGACUUUCCCAAUUUGAAUGGAAGUUUUCCUGCAGGGGUUAGUCUAACAAAAAUAUUCCAAUAUCUACUACAGCAUACUAUCGGCUCAAAAAUGAACCUAGACACCACGUCUAAUUUGCUUUAGGAGGGCAUUUUAAUCAUGCAUAAUUAAAAUCCUUUGAAAGUAAGAUCACCACUCCUAAAUUAAGUUCCAUACUUCAUUUUAAGAGAUGAAUGAAACUACUCCAAACCUAAACAUAUACUAUAGCAAACAAAGGUAACAUAAAAGCACUAUAG